GAGAGAGAGAGAGAGAGGUAUCAGCAAUGGAAGCGUUUAAGAAACUAAGAGAAAGCCUCCAUUAAUCAAUUUAAUGUUUAAUUCUAAUUACAAUUCUGGGUUUCCGUUUUUUUAGUAUAGGAUCCUUCUUGGUUUCGUUUGAUUAAAAUUCAAUUCUCUUAAACGUGGAAAAGAUUGUUUCCAAUUUUGUCAGAAACAACACUGAUCUCAAUUCUCAAGAAAUUCUCAAGAGUACAUUCAUGUUAUAGCCGUUAAAAUUAUUAGUAUCAUACACUGAAAAGUCUGUUGUUAUCGGUUAUGACUUAUAUUUCCCUCAAAGUACUCUGUCUUCUUAUUCUAUUCUUUAUAUGAUCAAAGUUUUUGGUGACUUCUUUUGACGCAGAGUUUAAUGUGGGUGUUGCUUUUUGCCCACGGUCAUGGAAUCUUGCACAGUUAUUGCAGCAAUUGGAAGGAAAAUUUUCAUGGUUCAGAUUGUGGUUAAAUCAUUGUUAAAGGGUAUCCUUUACUGAGGUGUAUUGUGAACCUUGAGGGCACUUCACAUUAUUGACUGUAUAUCUUAUAGUAAUUUGAAAGUAGGCCUCAUAUUCUAGGUCACUUAUUCAAUUUCCUAAUGCACUUUAUUAGCAUGUCUUCCUUAAGGUAAACUGUUAAGGAUGUCAUGGCAUUGUCCACAUAGAGUUUUUAAAUCUUGAGCUUGUCUAAGGUAUUGAAUAGUGGACAUGCAUGUGCCAGCACAAAGGAACCAACCUUGAUCUCUUACAGUGCCUUACAUAUCUCAUCCAUCCUCAUAAUUGCUCUUUCAGGCAGAUACUAAUUUAUAUUUAAAAAAGAGGUAAAAUUGUUUAGAUUGAAUAAGAAUUCUAAUAAUUCAUUGUAUAGCUUGUCAAAUAUCAGUGAAUUAAUAGUAAAAGAGGCUUGUAGUUUGAUUUUCUUUUUAUUGUGAUUUACAAUUGGUUUUGCUACCUGACCUUAAGACAAGUGUCACCUUGUAUCCCUUUUACAUAUGUUCACUAUUUACACUCUAAAGGAUGAGUUUAUGUAAUAAUUGAAGAUAAUAGACCUUCUGUGCACUGUCUUUUUAGUAGCAUAUGCUUUUUACAUUUUUUUUUUCAACUUACUUAGAUAAGACUCAAAUAAUAUAUAUUUUUUCUGUGACAAAGGCUUGUGUAAUUUAUCAAUCCUAAGUUUUUAGUUUAACUGUAACCGUUAAUUACCUUUUCAUUCGAGAAUUUAACCUUUUAUUGUGGUUAUUACUUGAACAUUGUCUGGUCUCAUGAGGAUAUGCCUGUGAAGGUGGUAGACCACAUUGAUAAUGAGCACAGUAUUGACAUUAAUCCUGUAUACCAUACGAAAGUGUAGUUUAAAUGUUAUGCCUAUAUGUGUGUUUCCUUUCUUAUUAACAUUCAUUAUUCCUAGAAUAUAUCACUAUCACAGCUAGUGAAAUACCAUCAUGAAGCUCAAAUUUCAAUUUUAAUCAACACAUUGAGAGAUGGAAUAGUUGGAGUCACCACUUUUUCAACUUCAGUUGUUUUGGUUGAAUUUCUUUCUGCUGAGACUGUGUCUUUGCAAACUUCCAUUUUUCUUACCAUCAAUGUCUUUUCUUACUCACGUCUUUUAAUUACUAAGAUUAUUUUGACUCCUGAAACUUUAAGUUGGCUAUUUCUAUCUACUUCUAUGUACUUCCAUUUUCUUACCAUCAAUGUUACCAUCAAUGGAUUCUCAAAAAAAAAAAAAAAAAUGUUACCAUCAAUGUCUUUUCUUGUUCACAUUUUUUUAAUUGCUGAGAUUAUUUUGACUCCUGAAACUUUGAGUUGGCUACUUCAAUAUAUGACAAUGAUCCUCCUCUUCCUCUACCUCUUCUGGAUGUCAUCUGCAUCAUUAAACAAGAUUAGAGUCAACCAUUCUAGGAUAUAUAUACAAGAUAUUUGGGAUUAAGUUUUCUUUUCCUUUUUAAUGUCUGAUGUCAUAGUCAAACUCCUAUGGAACAGGUUGAUGGAUGUGACAACAAGGUCAGAAUUAUGAACUGUACUUUGGAAACUGAUCUCAAGAAAUUCAUCUGGAGUUUCCUUCUAGAGAGGACGUUCAUGUGGUUAUUAGUAUCAUACUUUGAAAAGUCUAUUGUAAUUGGUUAUAACUUACAAACUUACAGUUGUUUUCCCUCGAAGUAUUUCUUAUUCCAUUCUUUACAUAAUGAAAGUUUUUGGUGACCUUUUUUUAUGCAGAGUUUAAUGUGGCUUUUGCUUUUUGCCAUGGUCACGAAAUUUUGCACAGUUAAUUUCUUUUUGUGUUGGAAAGUACAGAAGACCCUGCUUACAGUGUUGUAUCUUCGUUAAUAUCAGAUUUUAAGGUAUAUAUGUUUUUACGAUUUUUGUAUACUUUUCUGAAAACAUAUGCUCUGGUAAUACUGAGAACAAACAUCACAACAUAUUUUUUUAUAAGUAAGUUUUGGACCAAAAGGGAUGGGGAAGUGGAGAUUUUGAACUUAGCGACCUCUUGUUCUCAAGGCGCUGUCUAGAAUUGAUUGUGCUACCCCUUGGGGUAAGAAACAUCCCAGCAUACAUUAUGACUGGAUACAUAGUUUGUGAUCCUGAGUGCCAAUAGCACUGAUGUUGAAAGGAAAACCUUGCCUUCUAGUAUCUUUCAUGAUAUGUGGGUGCCUAGUGAACUUGUUCGAACUUCUUUACCAUAGUUACAUUUCCUUACUUGUAUGCAUGUUCAAUAUGCGCAAGAUGAAGUUGAUGUUAAGGUUGUUGUAGCUGGUUUGUCAACAACUUGCAGUCAGAAGGUUCACAAUCAAUUGGUAUGUAACAAGUUUGGAACUUGGUAUAUGGUCUUUGCCAAUGCAUAAUGAAGGCGAAGGUCUCUAAUUACACUUUUUUUUUUCUUUUAAAAAUAUAAGUAUUAUUUCAAAAUAUUUCUAUAAUAUGAACUUCUGAUAUGUUGUCUUUGUUUCUAUUUUCUAGAAUAAUAAUAAACUUUUAUUCUGUUAAAAAUUGAGUUGGAAUAUACGAUAAGGCUAGAUGUUAAGCCAAUGAGCUCUAGUUCAAUUGGCACCUUCUCCCCUUAUAAGUGCUAGGUGAGGGGUAGGGUCAAGGGUUCAAGAUCCACUUACCAAUAUAAAAAAAAUGAUAAGACUAUAUUUUAAAUAGGAUUGACUCUUAUAUUAUGUUUCUACAAGGCAGGCAUGUUGAAAGCAGAGCAGCCCUGCACUAACAAAUUAAUUUGGAAUUUUGAGCUUAUUUAGAAUAAAAUAAUCUUGUGAGAUGUCAUAUUGACUUUCAUAAAUUAUCUUUCCUAUAAGCAUAUGUUUUUGUUAACACUAAUUCAUAUAUGAUGUGGUGCUGGUUGGAGUGGAGAAAAUGCAUAAAGACAGCAAGUAUGUGUUAUAUUUGGAGGCGUUUGAGACCAUCAUUGGAAUUGCUGAAGCUGAAGCGAAAAGAAAUGGAAUGGAAAUAAACGAUCCCAUUGUUGCUUGCAUUUCCGAUUUGGCCUUCAAAUAUGCAGGUUCAUUAUAAUUAACUUUUGCUCAUUUUAUUCUCGCUCUUAUGUAAUUGCUAUUUAGUUAGUAUUUACAAUAUGGCAAUUUAGUCACUAAGAAGCUCUUCUUCUCAAACUUAUACCUAGAAUUAGGAUUUUGAGUGUUUGGGUGUGGUAUGAAUCUAAUGGAAGAUUAACUGAUUGACUUGCAAAAGGAAAAAAAAAAAAAACACUUAGGUACAAUUCCUUAGAUACUAUGAUUUAUGCUUCCUAAUUAAAUUCAAUCUUGUGGUCUUACAAGUUGUAACUAUACACAACCAAGUGUAUUGCCAAUAAUCAACAUGGUUUUGUUGCAUUGGCCAGUUAGUUAUAUGGGUGUAUUUAAUUAGGAACUGUUGCCAAGUUCUGUACAUUGCAAAAUUGUGAAUCAAGUCAGAACCAUUCCUCUUUGGAAUGCUAAAUAGUUGCUUAUUGGGCUAUGCUUAAGCAUGUAUUGGGGUUUAACUAGAGAAGACAUUCAUGUCAUAACUGUUAUUAGUAUCCUACUUUGAAUAGUCUAUUGUGUUUGGAUAUAACUUAUAUUUCCCUCAAAGUAGUCUGUCAUCUUAUUCUAUUCUUUAUAUGAUCAAAUUUUUUGGUGACUUUUUUUGAUGCAAUGUUUAAUGUGGGUGUUGCCUUUGCCACGGUCAUAGAUUCUUGCACAGGUAAUUUCCUCUUAAUUCAGUGUUUCUUAAUUUUUUGUUAGUUCUACUCAUCUUAUUAAGGUUAAGAUCCUUAAAAUUAUCAACAUAAGUUGAGUCAAUGAUUAGCGAAAACAGUUUUGGUUUAAGGAAAAUCUCAUAUCUUUCUUAUCCUUUUGUCACUGCUAGAACUUUUCUUUCAUUCGUAAGUAGUGACACUAGUUUUUUGCAUCUUUAAAAGUUUUUGACCUAUAUCCACAAAUUUCAGGAUUUGGAAUUUGAUUUUCAUGAAUGAAAAAGUUUCUAUGAUAUUUCGAGCAACUUUUAGAUUAGUAAUUGACAACAGAUUUUUUAUUUUGAAAAAUUGAAUAUAUAAGGAAAGAAAUUAAAGUCAACCUUAUUCAGAACAGAGUGAAACUAUUACAUUCACUCCUGCAUGUUAAUUGGUUAAAUUGAGUGAAUAGAUUGUCUCUUCCUUGGAUGCAUUUGUCUCAAAAGCUACAAUUGGAGGAUGAAUUAGGGCAUCAACAAGACUUUCCCAAGCAACCUGCAAAUUAUGGUAAAAAAACAUAUAAAAGAAUGACAUUUAAAGCAUUAUAAUGUAGGACUUCUGAAAUAUUUUAAUCCAAAAUGUUACCAUAAUCGAUGGAAGAAUGACUGACAUUCUAAGUGUUGUAAUGGAGUACUAGUAUAUUUUAAUGCAGAAAUUACCAUAAGAGAUAAAUUGAACAGGUAACUAGGGAGUAAUUUAGCUUUUUCUAUUUGCAUGGAUUGCCAUAAAAACUUGGGCAGACAGUCCUAUGAGCUAACAUACAAGGACCACAACCACUCAAAAAGUUGAUAACUAGACACCCUAUACUGACUUAAGAAAGGACCAUUUAUAUUUUAAUGAAAUAUAUAAUGCAAAAUAAAUAAUCUAA